AUGCUUCUCAUGGUUGAUCUUGUUGAUGACUUGAUAAGCAAUGGCACCUUUCAAGUCUUCCGCUUUGAUUCUUCAGCCGAACCAGCUAAGUGGACCAAGAUGGAGAAGUUGGAAAACUGGGCUCUCUUUCUCAGCCUUGAUAGGAUGAGCCCUACAUUUUCUUGCAUGAACCCUGAAAGAUGGGGCGGAAAGAGUAACUGCAUUUACCUUCCGAGUGUGUCCAAAGACUCUGAUGAACCUUGGAUUGCUGUAGAGCUUGGUCAGGCAGUUUACAGCACAAGUCGCUCCAAUUCAUACAUCCUAGGAGGCAGAAGCAAUCAGCUUGAGAGCCUCUGGGUGCUCCCCAGUUUGGUCUAUGGUGUUCGCCAGUGA
rnacentral:rRNA from 1 species